rnacentral:rRNA from 1 species
GGCUUAGAGUUUGAUCAUGGCUCAGGACGAACGCUGGCGGCGCGCCUAACACAUGCAAGUCGAACGGAGUUGAGAGGAGCUUGCUUUUCUUGACUUAGUGGCGAACGGGUGAGUAACGCGUGAGGAACCUGCCUCAAAGAGGGGGACAACAGUUGGAAACGACUGCUAAUACCGCAUAAGCCCACAGAUCCGCAUGGAUCAGAGGGAAAAGGAGCAAUCCGCUUUGAGAUGGCCUCGCGUCCGAUUAGCUGGUUGGUGAGGUAACGGCCCACCAAGGCGACGAUCGGUAGCCGGACUGAGAGGUUGAACGGCCACAUUGGGACUGAGACACGGCCCAGACUCCUACGGGAGGCAGCAGUGGGGAAUAUUGCACAAUGGGGGAAACCCUGAUGCAGCGACGCCGCGUGGAGGAAGAAGGUCUUCGGAUUGUAAACUCCUGUUGUUGAGGAAGAAAAGGACGGUACUCAACAAGGAAGUGACGGCUAACUACGUGCCAGCAGCCGCGGUAAAACGUAGGUCACGAGCGUUGUCCGGAAUUACUGGGUGUAAAGGGCGUGUAGGCGGGAUUACAAGUCAGAUGUGAAAUUCCGGGGCUCAACCCCGGAACUGCAUUUGAAACUGUAGUUCUUGAGUACUGGAGAGGCAGGCG